rnacentral:rRNA from 1 species
CCCUUAGAUGUCCGGGGCUGCACGCGCGCUACACUGAAGGAAUCAGCGUGCUAAAACCAUUGUCGAAAGGCAUUGGUAAACCCAUUAAAAUCCUACGUGAUUGGGAUCGGGAAUUGCAAUUAUUUCCCUUGAACGAGGAAUUCCCAGUAAGUGUGGGUCACAAGCUCGCGUUGAUUACGUCCCUGCCCUUUGUACACACCGCCCGUCGCUGCCCGGGACUGAGCCGUUUCGAGAAAAGCGGGGACUGCUGCUGUCGGGGCUUUCGGGCCUUGGCUUCGGUGGAAACCGCUUUAAUCGCAGUGGCUUGAACCGGGCAAAAGUCGUAACA